ACUUAGCAAAGAAAAAUAAAAUAUGAAAUGUGAGCUCAUGCUAAAUUUCCUAAGAAAUAGGGUGUAAGAAUUGCAAUACGUAGGAAUAUUUAGUCCUAUUCCUUUGAUCCAAUUUUUUGCGGGCCAGACGGGCUGGCAUGCUUGCCUCUGGCUCAACACGGCCCGCCAAAGUGUUGGGCCGUUCGUAGUCUCCCUGCUCGGCACGUUGGGCCAUCACAGCACGGCCCGUUUAACCAAUCGUGCCUAGGCCGUGCGGCCCGUUUGGCCCCUUUCCUUUUCCCACGCUUCGCCCCCACCUUUGGCUCCUCGCGUUCGUCGCCGGCGCCGCCGCGCAGCAACCAGCGUUCCCCUCCCCCUCCGGCGAUGAGCUCAAGCCGACGAGGCGGCAAGGAGGCGAGGGGCGCCGCCCCCGGCUGCGACGUCCGCAGCCGCCUCCCUCCUCAAUUCGCUCCCCACCACAUGCUCGCGAGCUUCCUCCUCGUCGGCCACCGCCGACCAUCCACUGCAAGGGGGUCGCCGCGGUCGAUUCGAGCGGAACGCGGAUCUCCCCCGCCUUACCAGCAGCUGGUCCAGCUCGACGGCGAAGCGGCCGAUCCGGCGGUGGCAUUCGACCCAGCGGCUAGGUGCUCCAAUGGCGGGAUUGCUCGGCUGACUUCUCUGACCACCGCCUGCUGCUGCUUUCCUCACUCUGACGAUGACGAUUGUUGUCAUGAGAAUCAAGCUGCACUAGGUGAGAACUAGAAAAUUGGCGUGCCCUUGGCGCUCUUACUACUUACAACCAAUGCAUAUAGGCAUAUAGCUUAUGGUCUUCUUUAUAUGUUGGUUAAUAAUUUAUGAAAAUAUCAUGAAAAUUUUUUCCGCAUUGAACAAACUGAUCAAAUUACCACAGAUUAUGCAAUCAAUUAUUUGAUUUACAGCAUUUACAAGCUGAUCAAACAAAGAAUUAUGCAACCAGCACAAAGAUUUUCCCAAAGGACCACAAAUCAUACUUUAUUUCGCAUCCUUUACAUCAUGUACACAACAUUUGGCAGAUUUUCGACCUACUAGGAGAUCAGAUCAUCAUACGAAUCAAAAUGUCAUCUUUGCAGACAUCCUGCAGCUCUGAGCUAUCUUCAUAAAGAAAAGGGGCAUAUGAGGGCAGCAGAACAGCAUCCGCAUCGGCUUGCUGGAAAUUUCUUCUGAGAGGAAGAAGAGCAGCGGCGGCAUCACCAGCGUGCUGUCCGACGACGGGGAGCUCGCGAGAACUUUACCGGCUGAUGUGUUUCUGCUCCAUUGACUGACCUAUCCAACCCAAAUUUUCUCUUUGGACAGACAUUGGUUGUACAUUCUGAAGAUAAAUAAAGGGUUAUACUCAAAUAUGUGGAGAUGUCUAAUUUCUGAAAUUACAACGCAACGGCAUUCUUCUAGAAUUAAGUGGAUAUAAUACCACUGAAUAUUCUUGCGAUAAGAAAAAUAUAUGAAUAAGGAAUUGAGCUUUGACAUGUGUUCAGGAAAAUUAAAGCACUAAGGAAAUGUCAUAAAAAUUUGACUCUGUAGUAUUUAUUAAAUUGACUCAAAUUCGUUCGAGUAUAACGGAAAGUUAGUGAAAUCUGUGAAAUCUGCCUUUUCUUCUGUCUAGACAUAAUAUAUUAUUUGGUGAUUUAUAAAUCAGUCAUUUAAAAAAUCGAAGUAGCUCAAUUAACUAAAAAUAGACUAUCUUAUUGAUCAUACUCGUCAUAUAACUACAAAAGAGAUGAUCGGCGUUGAGCUAUCGUCGCUACAAAUUACAGAAAGUUGAAGUGUGUCAACUGGAUUUUACAAUGUGCAUAUGCUCAUAUACUGUCGAAAAAUUAUCCAACUUCUCAGCUCUAGCCAUGUAUUGUAGUGUCUUACUUGCCCAUGUUUGAAUCAAUUUCUUUUGAACUUUCAUGUCAACAUUGCUAAAGACCACCAGUUAGUGCUGACAAAGCCUAAUUUGAUCAAGUUCGUAUCUAUAUCAAUACAUCAUUAUAUAUUAAGGGAAUAACCCUGAAACCUGUACACUAUAACCGGUUAGUCUUCUCUGGAUUCGCACCACUGGAUACACAGCCUAAAAUGGACACCGGUGGUUGAAGUUGUAACAGAUCAAAAUGUCAUAACACUGGUUUUGCUAAUUCUUUCUCCGCUUUUCACUAGGAGAAAUCACAUCAGUCAACUCCGCCACUUCAUUGAGACUAAUCGCGACAAGUUUCGUCUGAACUGAGGCAAUGGCAAGGCCGGUUUUUACAGCACUCACGCUCGUCGUAGCCCCUGUUCUUGCCUGGAGAACUGUCUACAACAGCCGGAUACAAUGCCUUCCUGCAGUUUGUUGGGCUGCUGGUGGAAUUUGUUGGGCUGC